UACGUAGGGUGCAAGCGUUAAUCGGAAUUACUGGGCGUAAAGCGUGCGUAGACGGUUAUGUAAGUCAGAUGUGAAAGCCCCGGGCUCAACCUGGGAACUGCAUUUGUGACUGCAUGGCUGGAGUGCGGCAGAGGGGGAUGGAAUUCCGCGUGUAGCAGUGAAAUGCGUAGAUAUGCGGAGGAACACCGAUGGCGAAGGCAAUCCCCUGGGCCUGCACUGACGCUCAUGCACGAAAGCGUGGGGAGCAAACAGG
rnacentral:rRNA from 1 species